AUUCCUUCCCAUUCUUCACUACUCCUUCCAUGUCCAGCCACCUCCAUUUGCAUCUGAAAGGAGAAAAGACAUUAUUUUCUUUUUAGGAUGAGAACUUGCACUUGAAAUGCAGUAAUAUGUUCUAGCAGAAGAAACACUUUCAUGAAAGAUUAUUAAAUCAUUGAAAACGGUACUAGGUUUCUCAAUAUUAUCGAGCAUUCUCACUUUUCUUCUAGGCUUUUCAACAGAACCUUCUCCAAGAGAUGCCAAAACAUUUCAAGUAGAUCGAUUUACGCUGCUACCUAGUAAACAAUAAAAGCUGCCAGCACAAACCACAAGAAUUCAUUGAUGACGUCCAAAGAAUGGGAGAUGAUCAUCUGCAUUGUAUACCACAUCUAUUGUUCCAUGAAGUCCAAGAACAUGUAACAUGAGAUAUUUGCUAGUACUAUUUUCGAUAGAAAAACUCCAGUGCAAAUGUAAUUGGAGUAACCAAAUACAUUCCACUAAGCAUAGGAACAUGAUUAGAUAGUAUUUUUUCUGAAGAAAGUGAAUACACCAAGCACUAGUAACCAAAUACGUAAAUGUUUUGUGUCUAUUCCUGCCAACGAUCUGGCCAGAUGGAGUCAAACCAGGUAUGUUGAUUGGAAUACCUCCAUUCCUGAUCCUCAUGCAAUCAGUGAGUAACAACAGCAAAAAGGAUCCUCAAACUUUUAUAAUCCAGGAGAUUUCCAUCUGUUACUGGAAAGUACUGGAUUUAUGGUGACGCUAAGGAGCUUAAGAUUCUGGACAAUGAUUUUAUACAAGGUAUAAUCUUUCAGGAAAAUGCGAUAAGAAAGGCACAGACCUUUUUUUCCGUAACCUACAUCAAGCUCAGCCUCUCACUUUCAAGUAAACCUGUCAGCAAGAUGUCAAGAGGAAUAAGCCCCUUAUAGAGCUCAACACUUCUCCCAGUACAACAGGGUAUUGGAAAUGCUAUUAAAUAACCCUAUGGAAUAUGUUCUACUCAAUUUUUGGACUCAAUUGGGUCAUGACACAUAAGAGUUAAAAAGCCUACAAAGGUUGAGCUUAUGAAGAGUUGAUAAAGAGACAUCAAGAAGAUCUGGAUUUUGGUCCCUGCAAGUAUUUUUUUCUUUUUUUGUGUUUGGACAAAAAGGAAUUACAGAUAUUUCGAUGGAAUCUCAACUCUGAACCACUCUUUAAAAGCUAGACGAAGACUUUAUUUAUUUAGCUGGAGCCUAGGUUGCUCGGACUCGGGUGCGGGUGGCCGAUACGGGUGAGGAUCUACAAGUCGGAUCCUUCAUGAUCUAAUUUUAAGAUUUGGGGGUAUGGAUCGAGGUAUGGAUACGGAUACGGGAUUCAGCUAAAGUAAUAUAUCCAAAAAUAGAGUUAUAAAAUAUGUCUAAAUUAUGAAAUAUUAUGUGGAGAACUUAUAAGAUAUAGGAGAAAAUAUUGAUCAAGAGGAGAAUCCGAGAAGGAGACAAAAGGAAAAUGACAGACAUAAAAAUUUUCAUAC
rnacentral:lncRNA from 1 species